rnacentral:tRNA from 1 species
GGCCUGAUGGUCUAGUGGUAUGAUUCUCGCUUUGGGUCCACAAUUAUGCGAGAGGUCCCGGGUUCAAUCCCCGGUCAGGCCC